ensembl:lncRNA
CAAAAGACACGAAAAAGGUUACGGCAAAAACAACUAACCCUCCGUGUGGAUGCUAACUCACCUGUCUGGCUAAAGCGCUGCAGAGAGGACGUGAAACUUUAUCUAUUGUUGCCAAAAUCUGCAACUCCUCUUCCAAGAACACGAGACCCAAAAUCAAACUUGAACAAAAAACAGUCUACCGCAGCAAGUACAAUAGUGAGAAGUUACUUAAAAAUCUAUUCAAAGAGGCCGGGCGCACUAUCAGUCCAAACUCAGAGCAAACUGUCUCCUGCCAGUUGAAGAUUCCUGAUGAUGCCAUCUCCACUAUCCAUAACUGUGAAAUCAUCUCAGUUGAAUAUUAUGUUAAGGUUUCUUUGGACAUUAGCUUUGCCUUUGACCCAGAGGUGGUGUUUCCACUGAUCAUCGUUCCUUCCAGAUUUGCAGCCAUUCAGCCUGGUGAGCCUGUGGGGCCUUACCCACCU